UUUCUUUUUUUGGUGUUUUGAGACAGGGCCUUGCUAUGUAGUUCAGGCUGGCCUCAAACUCACUAUGUAGCCCAGGCUAGCCUCGAACUCAUGGCAGUCCUCCUGCCUCAGCCUC
rnacentral:miRNA from 1 species